ensembl:snoRNA U3 Small nucleolar RNA U3
AGGGUUAGACUUUCAGGGAUCAUUUCUAUAGUUUGUUAUUAGAGAAGUUUCUCCAAUUGUGUAGAGUACUGAAGCUGCCCUCAGAGGGAGUCUGUCUCAGUUUCUCUCUUUUUAUUACAAAGUUGCUUCAGGUUUUGAAAUUACUUUUAGUUUUCAAUAUAUUUAAGAAGAGGAAAUAUGA